AAUGUAUUCCCGCAUUAUACUGGUGGGCGACCUAGAACUUAAAAGUAUUCCCGUAUUAUACUGGUGGGCGACCUAGAACUGAAAAUGUAUUCCCGCAUUAUACUGGUGGGCGACCUAGAACUGAAAAGUAUUCCCGCAUUAUACUGGUGGGCGACCUAGAACUUAAAAGUAUUCCCGCAUUAUACUGGUGGGCGACCUAGAACUUAAAUGUAUUCCCGCAUUAUACUGGUGGGCGACCUAGAACUGAAAUGUAUUCCC
rnacentral:lncRNA from 1 species